ensembl:lncRNA
CAACAAGUUAUUGCAAGUACUUUCCAACUCAGAUAUCUAUUACCAGGUCAAACGGUGAGCUGUUCAGCACAGUGCCUUCCCCUUCAACAUAAAAGCUUUUUUGUUCACAGACUUAAAGAAGAAAUCGAAGCCACAUUUCCAGGUCUGGAGGGUCAAUGGCAACACAAUUUAUUUGAUCUUCGUCCACUAGACUUAAUUUUAGACUUUUACGUAGUUGUUCUUAUAAAACAGAUCCUACAGAGCAAGGACUCACCAAGCAACCUCAGGAUGUCUCAUGAAUUUUUAUUCCCAGGACUUCGCACAUUGCAUGUUGCUUUCCCACCCCUUGAGAAGCCUUGGUUAAUACUUUGUGAUGGAAAUCCACCACUAGGAGUGAAAAAUCUGCUCGCUGUUGAUAAGGGAAAAUGCUGCAGCUUCAAGGAUGAGACCCUGGUGAGCUUCAGGCUGUGGGAAGCCGCUCUUCAAGGCCUGAAAUAGAACCAUAGAAUCAGAGAAACACUGAGGUUGGAACGGACCUGUAAUCCAACUGUCGACCCAUCGCCAUCAUGCCAUUAAACCACGUCCCUCAGUGACACAUCUACAUGUUUCUUGAGCACCUCCAGGGAGACUGAUUCUACUACUUCCCUGGGCAGCCCCUUCCAAUGCCUCACCACUCUUCCUGAGAAGAAGUUUUUCCUAAUUUCUCCCCUGAACUUCUGCUGAUGCAACUUGAGGCCAUUCUACUCUGCUCAGCAGGCACCCGUGAGGCAGCAGAGUCUGAUAUAAACUCAGCAUCCCUGUGCUGCUCCAGUGCAAUGCACC